rnacentral:rRNA from 1 species
AGAUUGAACGCUGGCGGAAUGCUUUACACAUGCAAGUCGAGCGGCAGCGCGGGGCAACCUGGCGGCGAGCGGCGAACGGGUGAGUAAUACAUCGGAACAUGUCCAUUUGUGGGGGAUAGCCCGGCGAAAGCCGGAUUAAUACCGCAUACGCCCGUACGGGGGAAAGCGGGGGACUUCGCAAGAGGCCUCGCGCGAAGUGGGUUGGCCGAUGUCCGAUUAGCUAGGUUGGUAGGGUAAAGCUUACCAAGGCGAUGAUCGGUAGCUGGUCUGAGAGGAUGAUCAGCCACACGUGGGACUGAGACCACGGACCCAGACCUCCGUACGGGAGCGAGCAAGGUGGGUAAUUUUGGAACGUAAGUGGGGGACAACCCGUGACUCCGAGCCACGUUCCGCGUGAGUACG